CCUCUUUCUGAUGACGAGGUGACCGUAUAUCUCCUUGCUGGACUCGGUCCAGAUUAUGAUUCAUUUGUCACUUCUAUGACGACGAAAGAUGCUCUUACCCUUGAUGAUGUGUAUGCCCACCUGAUAACGUUUGAAGC